rnacentral:rRNA from 1 species
UACGGAGGAUGCGAGCGUUAUCCGGAUUUAUUGGGUUUAAAGGGUGCGUAGGCGGGCUUUUAAGUCAGCGGUAAAAAUUCGGGGCUCAACCCCGUCCGGCCGUUGAAACUGGGGGUCUUGAGUGGGCGAGAAGAAGGCGGAAUGCGUGGUGUAGCGGUGAAAUGCAUAGAUAUCACGCAGAACCCCGAUUGCGAAGGCAGCCAUCCGGCGCCCUACUGACGCUGAGGCACGAAAGUGCGGGGAUCGAACAGG